AAUGACUCUCGGCAACGGAUAUCUCGGCUCUCGCAUCGAUGAAGAACGCAGCGAAAUGCGAUACUUGGUGUGAAUUGCAGAAUCCCGUGAACCAUCGAGUUUUUGAACGCAAGUUGCGCCUAAAGCCUUUCGGCUGAGGGCACGUCUGCCUGGGUGUCACA
rnacentral:rRNA from 1 species